rnacentral:lncRNA from 1 species
CUCUCCGUCCAUCCUUCGUCUCCUUCUGUUCCCGCUCUCCUCGCUCCUUUCCUGCCUUGGCACUUCUGUUUUCUCCUCUCCUUAGCGCUCCUCCAUUUUUCAUCUACUUCUUUUUCCGCCCCAGGUUGUCCACUUUUUUUUUGUUUUUUGAGACGGUGUCUUGCUCUUUCACCCAGGCCAGAGUGCAGUGGGGCGAUCUUGGCUCACUGCAAGCUCCGCCUCCCGGGUUCACACCAUUCUCCUGCCUCAGCCUCCCGAGUAGCUGGGACUACAGGCGCCCGCCACCGCGCCCGGCUCAUUUUUUGUAUUUUUAGUAGAGACGGGGUUUCACCGUGUUAGCCAGGAUGGUCUCCAUCUCCUGACCUCGUGAUCCGCCCACCUCCGCCUCCCAAAGUGCUGGGAUGGCAGGCGUGAGCCACCGCGCCCGGCUGGGUUGUCCACUUUUAUCUCCUCUUUUCCUUGAUCGUCCUCCCCUUUUUUUCUCCUCUUCCUUUUCCUUAAGCCUUCGCCUGUCAAUCACGUCGAAACACAGUAUUUGACCGGAGCCAGUAUCUUGAUCUGCCUAAAGACAAGACAUUCAAUCGUGAACAGUCGAAUAUUAUUCCUUCCUCAAUUAUACAAAGAAGAGUAAGUUAACAUACCACUUCAGCCUAUUAAUGGUAAUUCAUUCCAUUACAUUAAUGGACAGUUUUGGUGCUGGGGUCCUAGCCUGGGUAACGGACAGCAGCUGCUGUGCUCCAAGAUCAAAAGGUGUUCAGGGCAAACUCUGGUGUUUGAAGGUCAGCAGAGAAAUGACUGGGCUGAUUCAUGAUGCUUACAUCAAGAAAUAUUAGUUGACUGAUGGUCAGGGCACAGAGAUGAAUCAGACCCCACCCAGCCCUGAGUAAGCUCACAGUCUAGGGGCAAGAAUAACACCCAACAGACUUAAUAUUGGAGGUAUAUUGGUCGGGCGCGGUGGCUCACGCCUGUAAUCCCAGCACUUUGGGAGGCCGAGGGGGGCAGAUCACCUGAGGUCCGGAGUUGGAAAACAGCCUGACCAACAUGGCGAAACUUCGUCCCUACUAAAAGUACAAAAAAUUAGCCAGGUCUGGUGGCUUGCACCUGUAAUCCCAGCUACUCGGGAGGCUGAGGCAGGCAGGAGAAUCAUUUGAACCUGGGAGGCGGAGGUUGUAGUAAGCGGAGAUCGCACCAUUGCACUCAGGCCUGGGCAGCAAGAGCGAAACCCUGUCUCAAAAAAAAAAAAAAAAUUUGAGCUAUAUGUUGAAGGCGUGAAGGAAAAGGAAAGCUGCCUGCCCACCUAUGUGGCAAACUAGGAUAGGCUGCUAACUGCUUCCUGGAAAAUCAACCCUGAAGAAAUGAGAGUGAGACAGGUUCCAGGAACUAACAGUAGCAACAAACCGAGGCUUCUGCUUCAGUGAAGGCUGUUGAGAGCUGGGGAUGUGGGAAAUGGGUUGCUGUUGCCUGGGGUGGAGGAGACCUGGCUGGAAGGGCAAGGAAAGGAUGAGGGACAAAAGCUGUUCAGAGGUGAAGAUGAUCCCCCUCUCCCCAGCACGGCCUUGGGAUGGUCAUCGCUUGGCACUGCCAUGACAUCAGGAGUGACAGCCCAGGCCUCUAGCGCCAUAGGACACUGGGCAAAGACAGAGCAGUGCAGAAGUUUAGGAGUCAGGAAGAACACAUGUAGACCAGUAAGCUGCCUGUGGCCAUCCCUCCACAACCUCCUCCUGUACAGCAGGGAGUUGUGCGGCCCUGUGCUGUACAGAGUAUCCCAGGCUGAGGGGCCAAUGGGACAGACACCCUGCAGGGCCUCUCCUCCCUGUGUGAGUGCCCUGGCCGUCUGUGCUCCAGCCUGGGUGCCUUUUUGUAAUUUGGCCAGAGGCAGCUACCUCAGCCCGGUGCGGGGACUCAACGCCUGUAAUCCCAGCACUUUGGGAGGCCGAGGCGGGCAGAUGACUUGAGGCCAGGAGUUCGAGACCAGCCUGGCCAACAUGGCAAAACCCCGUCUCUACUAAAAAUACAAAAAAAAAAAAAAAAAUUAGCUGGGUGCAGUGGCGGGCACCUGUAAUCCCAGCUACUUAGGAGGCUGAGGCAUGAGAAUCGCUUGAAUCCAGGAGGCAGAGGUUGCAGUGAGCUAAGGUUGCGCCAUGGCACUCCAGCCUGGGCAACAGAGCAAGACUGUCUCAAAAAAAAAAAAAAAAAAACUCAAACAAAACAAAACAAAAAACAGAGGGAGCAAUUCCCUUGUGACUGGCACGACUGUAUGGAGGAGGGGAGGUCUUGUUGCACAAAAUCUUGGUAGCAUAAAGCAACAGUUUUACUGUAUCUCAUGAUUCUGAUGUUCACCCUUGGGGCCUCAUGCCUAUACCAAAGGUGGCAGCUGGGUGUUGAAUGUCUGGCACCUCGCUGCCCCCUAACGAGGCCUCCCCCGCAGUGUCUCAUCCUUCAGCCUUUGUGUGUGGCCCCUUUCCCCAGCAGGAGGUGAUCCUGCACUUCCUACAUGACAACCAGGGGCUCCAAGAGGAAAGCGAAGCUGCCAGGCCUUCUGAAGAAGGCCACUUCCUCAAUAUUCUAUGAAUUAAAGCAGGCACAAGCCCAAGCCAGAUUCAAGAGGAGAGGACAUAAGCUGUGGAGGAGCUGCGCGUGCAUGCAGGGCGGGGUGGACUAAUUGGAGCCCUCUGGGGAGACUUGCUGCCACCAGGAGGGUACGAUAGUGGCUCUGCUGUGCAUGCCCUUUUCUUUCUGCAUAUCCGAGGAGAACCCCGCAAAAUACCUACUCACCCUUUCAGGCCAGAUCAAAGUGCCCCUCAUGUUAGGCCAGACCUCCCAUUGCAAGUUAUAAAACUCACAACUCAAUAUUUCUUUGCAAGAAGGAGGGAAUUGAAUUGAAAGAGGGAAUGCUGAACCAUUCAGGCAUUGUAAGGUGGCAUCAAGAAUCGAUCUCACCUCCCACCCUCCAUCCUGUUCUCUCUGCAGGCCUCACAAGCGGGAAAGAUGCCACCAACACCUGCAGGCUUAGAUUCUACCAGCUUCUCCGCUUAGAGAAGGUGCUUCUUUCCUAAUGAUUCCAGCCAAAGACCCAGGGCAGGCUCUCACUGGCCUGGCCUGGGCCUUGUUUCUACUGCAGUCAGGCAGUACCAAAGCAGGACCAGUCUGGGAUUGAUACGUGCUAAGCGAGGACAGCAUGAAUUGGUGGCAGCCAGUGCCAUCUUCCCCACCACAUGGAGAGAUGAGACACUGGUGAAGAUGUGGAGUCUCAGAGCAAGGGCCUGACAACUUGUUUCAGUAGUUUUUUCCUUUAGCUCGUGACCUAUACCAGAACCUAUUCCAGGUAUACAAACCAAUACUUUUUUUUUUUCGCUUAAGUUUGAGUUUGGCUUCUGUAGCUUACAACCAAAAUAAUUCUAAUUUGACCAGUAAAUGCGUUGCACAGAGGGAUGCGUCACCAGAAUAGGGUCAUCAUCCGAUGUGCACAGCAAGUCAAUGCGCCAAGACACCAGGCUGCAGCAGAGGAGGUUUGAAUCCUAGGGCCACUGGAUGUGGAGACAAGAAGAAACCAAAUCUGCCUCCCUGAUGAGUUUGGGGCUAGGAUUUUCAAGGGUUUUGGAGUGGGCUGAAGAAUGGAGAUUGCUGGUUUGUCAAGGAGAGCAGGAUGAAGCCGUGCUGAUUCUCAUGCUGAUUGGUUCCUUUGGGCAAGGGUUGGGGGUCUUCAAACUGGUUGGCAUCACCUGUUCGACUGGAGUUCAGGAUCUGCUUGAGCACUUCUUUCAUAUUUAUUUACUUAUUUUUGUUUUUUUAUUUUUUUCCCUGAGACAGAGUCUUGCUCUGUUGCCCAGGCUGGAGCACAGUGGCACAAUCUCGGCUUGUUGCAAGCUCCACCUCCCAGAUUCAAGCAAUUCUCCUGCCUCAGUUUCCCGAGUAGCUGGGAUUACAGAGGCACACCACCACACCCAGCUAAUUUUUGUAUUUUUAGUAGAGACGGGGUUUCACCACGUUGGCCAGGCUGGUCUUGAACUCCUGACCUCGUGAUUUACCCGCCUCGGCCUCCCAAAAUGCUGGGAUUACAGGUGUGAGCCACUGUACCCGGCCUAUAUUUAUUUAUGUUACUGUAUUUUUGAGACAGGUUCUCACUCUGUCACCCAGGCUGGAGUGCAGUGGCAUGAUCACGGCUCACUGCAGUCUCAACCUCCUUGGGCUCAGGUGAUCCUCCCACCUCAGCCUCCGGAGAGGCUGGGACUGCAGGCAUACACCACACCCCGUUAAUUGUUGUUGUUGACAUGGGGUUUCACCUUGUUGCCCAGGCUGGUCUCCAGCUCCUGCCCUCAAGCAAUCUGCCCGCCUCGGCCUCCCAAAGUGCUAGUAUUACAGGCGUGAGCCACUGUGCCAGGCUGCUUAAGUGAUUUUUAAACAAAAGCCUUAGGACCCUAACAUCAGAAAUCCCAUCUGUAGUAACAGCGGGGGUGCAUAAUGGUCAGUGUCCGGAGCUACAUGACUUUCUGUUACAAGGAAGUGGGCCUAAGUGCCGCCUGAUUAAUGCUUAAUUAUAACUAUAUUUCUGUCCGGGAUUCCUGUUAACUCUGAGAGGGUGGCCUCAGAUGGGUGGUUCAGUAAUGAAAAUGGACACCUAGGUGAUGGCCAUGAUUGUUGAUGUUGCCGUGGUGUCUGUCACUCAAACAUGACUGGGGCAUUGGAAUUCCAACCUGGGACUGAUGGAGAAUGUUGCUGUGGUUUGAAUAUUUGUCUCCUCCAGCACUCAUGAAGACAGAAUUAACAAUCAAAAGAGAAACAAAGCAGACAAAUUUGCAAAACUCAGCCUGGCCAUGUAGAAUGAAAAAGUGUGUUCAAAAGCAGAAACCAAGGGUGGCCCAGUGGUCUUUCACCAAGAUUAGUACAGAGAAAAAGGAUCAUCAAAGAGCAUGGAGCUGGUCACUCACGGUGGCUCACACCUGUAAUCCCAGCACUUUGGGAGGACGAGGCGGGGUGGAUCACCUGAGAUCAGGAGUUCGCGACCAGCCUGGCCAACAUGCUGAAACCAACCCCGUCUCUACUAAAAAUACAAAAAAUUAGCCGGGCGUGUUGGCAGUCGCCUGUAAUCCCAGCUACUUGGGAGGCUGAGGCAGGAGAAUUGCUUGAACCUGGGAGGUGGAGGUUGCAGCGAGCCGAGAUCAUGCCGUUGUACUCCAGCCUGGGCAACAAGAGCAAAACUCCACCUCAAAAAAAAAAAAAAAAAAAUAGAAGAAAGACCUCUAGGGCAUUUUGGAGGUCUUUGAGGCUACACUUGCUGUCACAGGCUCUGAGGCCUAGAGGGCCUAGAGGGCAGAAUGGUUUCAAGGGAUGGCCCAGUAUUGAGAGGUGGGGUCUUUAAGAGGUGAUUGGGCCAUGAGGACUCUCCCAGGCUGGCAGAUCGCUUGAGCUCAGGAGGUUGAGACCAGCCUGAGCAACAUAGCAAAACCCCAUCUCUACAAAAAAUACAAAAAAUGAGCGGGUUUUGGUAGAUAUUGCCAAAUGGCUCUUUGAAAAGUCUGUACCAGUUUAUAUUUCCACCAACAGUGUAUAAAAGUCUGUUUCCUUUUUUCAAGUCAACUAAAACUCUGUCUCCGACUCUGUUUCUCUCUGUCUCUUACACAUACAUGAAUAAGAGUCUAAGGGAAAUAAGUAUUUGAAUUUCACAGUAUGUAUAUAUGAAGGUAAAUAAUUCCUCAAAGUUUCUCUGACAAUGUUCUCAAGGUUAGGUUACCCUAUUUUCUUUAACUGAGGUAAAAUUCAGCCCACAUGAAUGAAUGAAUUCAUUCAUGGAUUAAUUAAUGGGUUAUCAUGGGAGAGGAACUGGUGGCUUUGUAGGAAGAGGAAGACAGACCUGAGCUAGCACCUUCGCACACCCAUCCCUGUUGCCAUCUGAUGCCUUGUGCUGCUUUGGGACUGCAGGGAGUCCCCACCAGCAGGAAGUCCCCACCAGAUGUGGCCCCUUGACUUUGGACUUCUCAGCCUGCAGAACUGUAAGAAAUAAAUUCCUUUUCCAUAUAAAUUACCCAGUUUAAGAUACUCUGUUAUAGGCAAAAGAAAACGAAUGAAGACAAAUGUGGACCAUUACUGUAUGGGUCCAGCAGCUGGAUUUGCCAGGGGCCCCAGAGAUAUGCAGUGUCGAUUACAGACUGACCACAAGAACCAAAAUGCGCAGGAGAAUGAUGAAUGAAGCAGGUCCCAAGGUUUAUUUGCAAGAAAAAUUUGAACAGCCGUGUGACAAACCCGCUUCUAGUAGGAAAGCACAUUCUAGAGGGAAGCAAAGCCAUUCGGAGGUUGUUUGGUGAGUCUGAAAUACAGACCUGUGGAGCCAUUCAGCUCUUAACAGUCUGACACCUCCUCUCUAGGGCUGCAGGCUUAGUGGCCAAAGACCAGCGCUGGUGACAAAAAUUUCCCACUGCCAUGCAGUGCCAGAGACAUGGACACACCCUGGACAUCUGUCUCCCUUUCUCUGGACUUGAGGCUUGCAGGCCACAGUUCUCCUUAGAUAGGGCCUGGUAUCGUAGAUGAAGUUUCAGAUCCCAAUCAUAUCUUACCCCUAUUAUCCUUUGUCCCUGAGCCCAUUGUAUUAGCCUGCAAUUGGCUGAAAACCUAACUCAAACAGCUUUAAGAGGGGGACAAAGGAAUUAGUUGGCUCACGUAGCAUUAAAAGACCAGGAAGAUGGCCAGGCAUGGUGGUUCAAGCCUGUAAUCCCAGCACUUUGGGAGGCCAAGGCAGGCGGAUCAUGAGGUCAGGAGAUGGAGACCAUCCUGGCUAAUACAGUGAAACCCCGUCUCUACUGAAAAUACAAAAAAAAAUAGCUGGGUGUGGUGGCGGGCGCCUGUAGUCCCAGCCACUCGGGAGGCUGAGGCAGGAGAAUGGUGUGAACCCGGGAGGUGGAGCUUGCAGUGAGCUGAGAUCGCACCACUGCACUCCAGCCUGGGCGACAAAGCGAGACUCCAUCUCAAAAAAAAAGAAAGACCAGGAAGAGUCCACUAGCUGCAGGUGUGGCUUGAUCUGGGAGCUAAUGCCACUCGGUUCUGCUCACCUCCAUGGUGACUUUAUCAUCAGGUGCCACAUUCAAGAAAAGGGGAUACCAUCUCCUUCAAGGUUCAAGCCUGGCAGGAAAGAGAAUGUCCCCAAAAUGGUCGAACAGAGGUCCUAGGCCUGACUCAUUUCCAUCUCUGAAUCAAACACCAUGUUCUGGCAUGUGUCAUACACCAGUCAGGAAGAAGUCACAUGCCCUACUUGUGGAGGCAGAUCGUCUUCAGCUGCACUCAAGCAUAUAUGGAAAGAGUUGAUGGGGGCCGGGUGCGGGAGCUCAUGCCUGUAAUCCCAGCACUUUGGGAGGCUGUGGCGGAUGGAUCACUUGGCGCCAGGAGUUCGAGACCAGCCUUGCCCACAUGGUAAAACCCUGUCUCUACUAAAAAUACAAAAAAUUAGCCAGGCAUGGUAGCGCAUGCUUGUAAUCUCAGCUACUUGGGAGGCUGAAGCAGAAGAAUCAUUGAACCUGGGAGGCAGAGGUUGCAGUGAGCCAAGAUCACACCAUUGCACUCCAGCCUGGGCAACAAGAGUGAAACUCUGUCUCAAAAAAAAAAAAAAAAUUAGUGUGGAGUAGUCAGAGGAAAAUCAGGGAUACCGUUGCUGGAAGAAAGAGGAAUAGAAGCAGCAAGGAAGAAAGGCAGAGGCCUGAGGUCCACGUAGAAGCAGCAAGGAAGAAAGAGGCAGAGGCCCGAGGUCCACGUAGAAGCAGCAAGGAAGAAAGAGGCAGAGGCCUGAGGUCCACGUAGAAGCAGCAAGGAAGAAAGGCAGAGGCCCGAGGUCCACGUAGAAGCAGCAAGGAAGAAAGAGGCAGAGGCCCGAGGUCCACGUAGAAGCAGCAAGGAAGAAAGAGGCAGAGGCCCGAGGUCCACGUAGAAGCAGCAAGGAAGAAAGAGGCAGAGGCCCGAGGUCCACGUAGAAGCAGCAAGGAAGAAAGAGGCAGAGGCCCGAGGUCCACGUAGAAGCAGCAAGGAAGAAAGAGGCAGAGGCCCGAGGUCCACGUAGAAGCAGCAAGGAAGAAAGAGGCAGAGGCCCGAGGUCCACGUAGAAGCAGCAAGGAAGAAAGAGGCAGAGGCCCGAGGUCCACGUAGAAGCAGCAAGGAAGAAAGAGGCAGAGGCCCGAGGUCCACGUAGAAGCAGCAAGGAAGAAAG